rnacentral:rRNA from 1 species
GCCUAACACAUGCAAGUCGAGCGAGAAGCCUUUUCAAGACUCUUCGGAUGACUUUAAGGGUGGAAAGCGGCGGACGGGUGAGUAACGCGUGGGCAACCUGCCUUGUACAGGGGGAUAACACCGGGAAACCGAUGCUAAUACCGCAUAACACAUAGAUAUCGCAUGGUAUUUAUGUCAAAGGAGAAAUCCGGUAUAAGAUGGGCCCGCGUCCAAUUAGCUAGUUGGUGGGGUAGAGGCCUACCAAGGCGACGAUUGGUAGCCGAACUGAGAGGUUGAUCGGCCACAUUGGGACUGAGACACGGCCCAGACUCCUACGGGAGGCAGCAGUGGGGAAUAUUGCGCAAUGGGGGGAACCCUGACGCAGCAACGCCGCGUGAAGGAUGAAGGUCUUCGGAUCGUAAACUUCUUUGAUUGGGGAAGAAGCAGUGACGGUACCCAAAGAACAAGCCACGGCUAACUACGUGCCAGCAGCCGCGGUAAUACGUAGGUGGCAAGCGUUGUCCGGAAUUACUGGGUGUAAAGGGCGUGUAGGCGGGGAUGCAAGUCAGAUGUGAAAAUCCGUGGCUCAACUGCGGAACUGCGUCUGAAACUGUAUCUCUUGAGUGCUGGAGAGGGAAGUGGAAUUCCUAGUGUAGCGGUGAAAUGCGUAGAGAUUAGGAAGAACACCAGUGGCGAAGGCGGCUUCCUGGACAGUAACUGACGCUGAGGCGCGAAAGCGUGGGGAGCGAACAGGAUUAGAUACCCUGGUAGUCCACGCCGUAAACGAUGGAUACUAGGUGUAGGAGGUAUCGACCCCUUCUGUGCCGGAGUUAACACAAUAAGUAUCCCACCUGGGGAGUACG